AUUGAACGCUGGCGGCAGGCUUAACACAUGCAAGUCGAGCGGAGAGAGGUAGCUUGCUACUGAUCUUAGCGGCGGACGGGUGAGUAAUGCCUAGGAAUCUGCCUAUUAGUGGGGGACAACAUUUCGAAAGGAAUGCUAAUACCGCAUACGUCCUACGGGAGAAAGCAGGGGAUCUUCGGACCUUGCGCUAAUAGAUGAGCCUAAGUCGGAUUAGCUAGUUGGUGGGGUAAAGGCCUACCAAGGCGACGAUCUGUAGCGGGUCUGAGAGGAUGAUCCGCCACACUGGGACUGAGACACGGCCCAGACUCCUACGGGAGGCAGCAGUGGGGAAUAUUGGACAAUGGGCGCAAGCCUGAUCCAGCCAUGCCGCGUGUGUGAAGAAGGCCUUAUGGUUGUAAAGCACUUUAAGCGAGGAGGAGGCUACUUUAGUUAAUACCUAGAGAUAGUGGACGUUACUCGCAGAAUAAGCACCGGCUAACUCUGUGCCAGCAGCCGCGGUAAUACAGAGGGUGCAAGCGUUAAUCGGAUUUACUGGGCGUAAAGCGCGCGUAGGCGGCUAAUUAAGUCAAAUGUGAAAUCCCCGAGCUUAACUUGGGAAUUGCAUUCGAUACUGGUUAGCUAGAGUGUGGGAGAGGAUGGUAGAAUUCCAGGUGUAGCGGUGAAAUGCGUAGAGAUCUGGAGGAAUACCGAUGGCGAAGGCAGCCAUCUGGCCUAACACUGACGCUGAGGUGCGAAAGCAUGGGGAGCAAACAGGAUUAGAUACCCUGGUAGUCCAUGCCGUAAACGAUGUCUACUAGCCGUUGGGGCCUUUGAGGCUUUAGUGGCGCAGCUAACGCGAUAAAUAGACCGCCUGGGGAGUACGGUCGCAAGACUAAAACUCAAAUGAAUUGACGGGGGCCCGCACAAGCGGUGGAGCAUGUGGUUUAAUUCGAUGCAACGCGAAGAACCUUACCUGGCCUUGACAUAGUAAGAACUUUCCAGAGAUGGAUUGGUGCCUUCGGGAACUUACAUACAGGUGCUGCAUGGCUGUCGUCAGCUCGUGUCGCGAGAUGUUGGGUUAAGUCCCGCAACGAGCGCAACCCUUUUCCUUAUUUGCCAGCGAGUAAUGUCGGGAACUUUAAGGAUACUGCCAGUGACAAACUGGAGGAAGGCGGGGACGACGUCAAGUCAUCAUGGCCCUUACGGCCAGGGCUACACACGUGCUACAAUGGUCGGUACAAAGGGUUGCUACCUAGCGAUAGGAUGCUAAUCUCAAAAAGCCGAUCGUAGUCCGGAUUGGAGUCUGCAACUCGACUCCAUGAAGUCGGAAUCGCUAGUAAUCGCGGAUCAGAAUGCCGCGGUGAAUACGUUCCCGGGCCU
rnacentral:rRNA from 1 species